rnacentral:rRNA from 1 species
UACGUAGGGUGCAAGCGUUGUCCGGAAUUAUUGGGCGUAAAGAGCUCGUAGGCGGUCUGUCGCGUCGAAUGUGAAAACCCGGGACUCAACUCCGGGCCUGCAUUCGAUACGGGCAGACUAGAGUUCGGUAGGGGAGACGUGGAAUUCCUGGUGUAGCGGUGAAAUGCGCAGAUAUCAGGAGGAACACCGGUGGCGAAGGCGGGUCUCUGGGCCGAUACUGACGCUGAGGAGCGAAAGCGUGGGGAGCAAACAGG